CUCAUGAGUUCCACCAGACUACUGCUUUUCAUGGUGCUGCCCGUCCUCAACAGGUCCUUCAGCUGGAUCUGACACAGAAGGAAAGAUGGUAAAAGUGUUUCCUCCACUGACCUGCUCUCUGUUGGAAGGAACCACUGUGGAGACUGAGGAGGGGAGAGCCGUGGAGGAGGUGUGGGUGGAGCUGUGGCUCCCAUUGCCUCCAUCCCCGAGCCAACACCGAGGGCACUGAUGGAGAUGGACUGGAGGAGAA